rnacentral:rRNA from 2 species
AAAUUGAAGAGUUUGAUCAUGGCUCAGAUUGAACGCUGGCGGCAGGCCUAACACAUGCAAGUCGAGCGGAAACGAGUUAUCAGAACCUUCGGGGGACGAUAACGGCGUCGAGCGGCGGACGGGUGAGUAAUGCCUAGGAAAUUGCCCUGAUGUGGGGGAUAACCAUUGGAAACGAUGGCUAAUACCGCAU